CAAAAUUGAACCCCUAUUGGCCAGGAACUUGGUUUCCUCUCCCUUCUUUCUCUCUUUUCUCCCCUGUUUUUGGCAAACUCUGUUUUUCUCUCUUCUAUUCCCUUUUAACUUUUUCUUCUUCUUUUUCUCUCUGCAUUGCUGUUUGCAUGGAAAAGUUUGGCCUUUAUCUCUUCAAUUAGAUUCUCUCAUAACAAUAACAAAAAAAAAUUAUUUUUUCUCUUUUCAAAUCCCUUGUCCUUCUUCUUUUCUCUUUAUCUCUUCCAUUGUUUCAAAGUUCCAAAGUUUACCUUCAAAUUCACAAAAAAGGGUAAAAAAUAUCUUUUUUCAGCUUAAAUUAGCCUUCUUUCGUUAGGUUUUUACAAGAAAUUCUAUGGAAUUUCUGGUGUCUUAUUAUUAUUUUUAAGCCUGGUUUUGUCUCCUGAAAUAACGGGUUAUCUUGUAUUUUGAUUAGACUUUUAUUUUGGUUGUUGAAUCAUGUUGAUUCUUUCGAUUCUUGGCUGAGUUUAGGGUUCUUGAUAGAAAGUUAUUUCUUUUCUUGGAUUUGUUGGUGAUUGAAGAAUAAAAAAAGAAUGGCUUUGAAUUGGGAUAAUUUUGGGAAUUCUUGGAGUUUUUGGGGUUGUAAUUGGGAUGAGGGAAAGCCCCAUUUUAAUGGAAGUGGCCAAUGUGAAUCAAAAGGCUUUUAUGAGGCUGUUAAUGAUGAUAUUGUUGAUAGAUUGCCUGCAGAUCCAUUUGGGAUGGAAAUAAGGUCUACUUUUGCUGCAGCAAUUACAGGUUGGAUUCAGGAUUUUGAGAAUGAUUUGGGAUCAGAUUUCUGUGUGUUUGGUAUGCAAGAUAGUGAUGAAAAGAAGAUUGCUGAUCAACAACAUUUGUUUGAGGGUUUAAAUUGGGUUUGGAAUGGUACCAUGAGUUUCCAAAAGGAGGAAGCUAAGUCUAGUUUUUAUGAAUUUGGUUUAGAAGAUGUUUAUAAAAACAUUGAUGAUCAGUCAUCUUUUUUUAAAGGUGUGAAUUGGGUUUGGAAUAGUACCAUGAGUUUUCAACAGGAGGAGGGUAACUUUGAAAUCAAUGAAAAACCAAUCCCAAAUGAUGAUUUUAAUAGAUUUGGGAUUGGUAAUGGACUGUCCUAUGGAGGUUUUGUAUUCAAUGAUGAAGGUAAAGGAUUGGGGGACUGCAAGGGAGUUUUUUGUGACGGUAGUGAAGGAGCUGCUCCAAAUGAUGCUUUGUUUUUUUCUCUUGGUUAUCUCGCCGUGAAGGAUCUCCUUGCAGUUGAAAGGGUCUGUAGGUCUUUGCGGGAUGCAGUUAGAAGUGAUCCUCUUCUGUGGAGGAGCAUCCAUGUUGAACAUUCACUGAGUAAGAGGAUUACUGAUGAUGCUCUUUUGAAAUUAACUAGCAGGGCUCAAGGCACUCUUGAAUGCUUGAGUCUGGUGGGGUGCGUAAAUAUCACUGAUGAUGGCUUGAAGCAUGUGCUUGAAAGUAAUCCCAGGCUCACUAAGCUAAGUGUGCCAGAAUGUACAAGACUCAGUGUUGAGGGCAUUUUGUUCAAUUUAAGAGCCUUCAGGUCUGCUGGUUCCCCAGGAAUAAAGCACUUAAGAAUAGGCGGAUGCUUCGGUGUAACAGAGGAGCAAUUCAAGGAGUUUCAGUUCUUACUUGGUGUAGAUAACUCAAUGCAAUGGAGAGAGCAAAAACCACAAUUUUUUCGUCAGGGGCAAUUGCAUCUCAUGUGUGAUGAUGAUAGGGCCAUUGACAUCGAGGUUUGCCCCAGAUGCCAGAAACUGAAACUAGUUUAUGAUUGCCCAUCGGAGAGUUGCAGAAGAACACAUCAUGCUGCUCAGUUGUGCAGGGCUUGCAUUCUUUGCAUUGCACGCUGUAUUUGUUGUGGAUGCUGUUUUAAGGAUUGUGAUUACGAGGAAACAUUUAGUCUAGAUUUGCUUUGCUUUAAUUGUUGGAAGAAGAUCUUUAAUCAUGAAGAGAAGCCAGAAGUAAUGGGUGCCUCCUCUUCUGAACACACCGCUUUUCAUCAAGAGACGGGGUAUCAGCUUUGUUUUUAUGGCUAGUAUAGAAGAAGUUCUAUGCCUUUUGGCUGAGGACUGUGGUCGAGACUCUUCUGCACAAUGCAAACCUAGCAGGUGGCUGUUGAAUAUGUGCAUAGACGCCCUAGCAGUGAAGUUUAACAUAAUCCAUGUAUAUUAUAGUUAUGUCAGCUUCUCCAUGCUACCUUAAUGGGUAUUUCCUGCUAUGUUGGUUAAUGCAGUGAAGAAUUGAGGUCACCUUUGAUCUUGUGAAGAAUUAAAGUUGGUUGGCAAGAAUGAGAUGCUGAAGAUAGAUACACUGAUGAAAAAAAGGACAAAAAUGAAAAAAAAAAAAGCUGAAAAAAGAAGGUAAAACAAAAAAUAAAUAAAUAAAAGAAUUACUGGUAGAUUGAAUCAUGGAUUCUGUUGAAUAAACAUAUCUUAAAGUGGGCUGUUUUUUGGUCAAAGGACAUAAAGAAAGUGUUCCGAAUGCUGUGUCUGCAACAAGUUCUGUGUGUCAUUGCAUUAUUCUUCAUUCAAUCCUUGUGAAUGAGGAGAAGCAAUAUUGGCCAGCAAUAUUUAAGACGAAAAAAUUUUUUUUGGUUGCUGCCAUAGUUAGAACUUAGAAAAUCUCUCUCUUUUUCUCACAGCUUUUUUUUCUUCAACAAAAACAUCAGCCCAUUGACAAAGGAGAAAUCCCAGAAAACGCCAAUAAUUGUAUGUUUCUUUUUUUUUCCCGAUUUUUUGGAUUGAUUUCUUUUUUGGUUUUGGUUUUUAUUAAUUUUCUUCGUUUCUAUUCAAAUUGUCUGUGUGCUCAAUUGGAAGCGGUGGGUAAAUCCGAUGCAUGUCAAGGUUGCCCUAAUCAAGAAGUUUGAGCCACCACCCCUAAGGUUCCUGACCCAGACUUGGUGGCAAUUGCAGAAAGAAUGGCUACUGUUAAGCAUGAGAUACUGGUUUUAUCAAAGGAAGGGAAGAGUUGGCAAGAGUACUUUCUAUGCCUAACUCUUAUUUGCACUAGUAGCUAAGAAUUUCCAGGUUGGUCUACUGGACAUGGAUAUUUGUGGUCCAAGCAUUCCAAAAGGCUUGGACUAGAAGGUCAAGACAUUCACCAGAGCAAGUUCCAUUUCAUUCUGCAGACUUGGUGGCAAUUGCAGAAAGAAUGGCUACUGUUAAGCAUGAGAUACUGGUUUUAUCAAAGGAAGGGAAGAGUUGGCAAGAGUACUUUCUAUGCCUAACUCUUAUUUGCACUAGUAGCUAAGAAUUUCCAGGUUGGUCUACUGGACAUGGAUAUUUGUGGUCCAAGCAUUCCAAAAGGCUUGGACUAGAAGGUCAAGACAUUCACCAGAGCAACCUUGGCUGCUCUCCUGUUCAUGUUGAGUCCAACAUUGGGGUAAUUUCAAUUGGAUUCAUGCUCCCUGACCCUGAUGAAGCUGUUAUUUGGAGAGGACCACGUAAAAACAGGCUCAUCAAGCAAUUCCUUAAAGAUGUGUACUGGGGAGAGCUUGAUUUUUUGGUUGUUGAUGCCCUUCCCAAGACCUCUGAUGAGCACAUCUCUAUUGUUCAGUUCCUUCAGGCUACUGGAAUAGAUGGAGCAAUCAUUGUCACUCCCUGCCAGGAAGUCUUUUUGAUUGAUAUGUGUAAAGAAAUUAGCUUCUGCAAAAAAGUUGGAUUACCGGCUCUGGGAAAUGUUGAGAACGUGAGUGGCUUGUGUCAGCCAUUGACAGAUUUCAGGUUUUUGAGGAUGACAGAAAGUGGUGAAUAGACUGAUCUCACAGAGAAGGUUAUCGAGUCUGCGAGGGAGAAAGCACCAGAAAUGCUAUAUCUCAUUGCUGCCGGUGAAGUUUUUAAUAGCAGUAGUGGUGGUGCAGCAAAAAUGUGUACGGAAAUGGGAGUACCAUUCCUUGGUAAGGUGCCAUUGGAUCCACAGCUUUGUAAGGCAGCUGAAGAAGGCAAAUCUUUCUUUGCUGAACAGAAAUGCAGCGUAAGCGCUUCUGCAUUGAGGAAUAUUAUUGAGAAGCUGAUGUAACAUU